UACGUACUCACUCCUUCCGCAAAUACUUGUCAUCAAAAUGGAAAAAAGGGGAUGCAUCUAGACGUAUUUUAGUUCUAGAUACAUCUCUUUUUAUCGAUUUCAAUGUCAAGUAUUUCCGGACGGAGGGAGUAAAUG
rfam:Triticum aestivum genome assembly, contig: Triticum_aestivum_CS42_TGACv1_scaffold_050405_1BS